UACGUAGGGACCGAGCGUUGUCCGGAAUCAUUGGGCGUAAAGAGCGUGUAGGCGGCUCGCUAAGUCUUGCGUGAAAUCUCGGGGCUCAACCCCGAGCGGUCGUGAGAAACUGGCGGGCUAGAGUGCGGGAGAGGAGAGUGGAAUUCCUGGUGUAGCGGUGAAAUGCGCAGAUAUCAGGAAGAACACCCGCGGCGAAGGCGGCUCUCUGGAACGCAACUGACGCUGAGACGCGAAAGCGUGGGGAGCAAACAGG
rnacentral:rRNA from 1 species